AAAUGGCUUAUAUAGACAGACCAACAAGCCAACUCUUCACUUCACUGAGCAAGUGUGUCUUGCAGUUGUCUUUGGAGAGAUAUAACAGAGAACAUGGCACGCAAACUCUUUCUAAUCCUCGCGCUCUUUCUCCUGGUGGGGAGUCUGACUGCGCAGUUGUCAGAUGAAGAUGGCAUCAUCCUGUCUGAACUGUACAACAAGGCAUCGAGGCAGCUCCACUCUUUCAGAGAGAGAAUCUGAAUGCCACGAAGCUCUCCUGUUUGUAAACAAAUAAAGAUGUUCUGCAGCA